rnacentral:rRNA from 1 species
UACGUAGGGGGCAAGCGUUGUCCGGAAUCAUUGGGCGUAAAGCGCGCGUAGGCGGCCCGGUAAGUCCGUUGUGAAAGUCAAAGGCUCAACCUUUGAACGCCGAUGGAUACUGCCGGGCUAGAGUCCGGAAGAGGCGAGUGGAAUUCCUGGUGUAGCGGUGGAAUGCGCAGAUAUCAGGAGGAACACCAAUAGCGAAGGCAGCUCGCUGGGACGGUACUGACGCUGAGGCGCGAAAGCGUGGGUAGCAAACAGG